GGAAAAGAGAAAGUUAUCGACUAAAUUACAAAAAUAGUCGUUUUGCAUCCGAGGUAAGUUAUGUGUAAAUAAUAGUAAUAUAUUUUAUAAAUUGUGAAUUUUAUUUGAUAUGUGAAUCAAUAUUGAAUGUGGAAGGAAAAUUGUUCAUGAAUUAUUCAAGUGAUAAAGUGUUUAAAAUAAAGUGUUAAGUGUAAAUUCCCGGUUGAACUUAGGAAUAGAAGUGGAUACAAGUGACAUGUCACUAGAGAUCAGUGUUACAGUGUUACAGUGAGUCCCGGGUGCUGGGUGAUCUAGCAUGUGUUGCAGACACCUGACAGCUUGUGUGAGCAGGCCCGUGGACAUUUCCAGUGUUAUUGAUCAGUGGUAGCUUCGGCUACGUUUCAGUGGUAGCUUCAGCUACAUAACAGUGGUAGUUUCGGCUACAUUUCAGUGGUAGCUUCGGCUACAUAACAGUGGUAGCUUCGGCUACAUAUCAGUGUUGCACUUAUGUGCUAAAUCUCUACGUAUCUGUGUAUAUUCCGAGUGUUCAACGGGAUUAAUGAUGGGUUAAAGUGAAUAUGAAAUGAAGUGUGUAUGCAGGAACAAUUGAAAGAAUUGAGCAUAUGUGAUAAAUGUUAAGUGUGAAAAUGUAUAUGCAAGUGAAUUGGUAAGAUUGUGCAUGUGUAAGUGAUUGAAAUUGCUAAGAAAUGUUUUGAUUAGUUAUAUGUUAAAAGUGUUAAUUAUUAAAUGAGUAAUUAUUAUUUACAUGUAACUUACUAAGCUAUUUAUAGCUUACACCUUUCUUUCUUUUCCUUUGUUUUAUAGUGAUUUGAACUUGAUCGAAUUGGGGAUCGUCGGAGCUCGUAUCACACUAUCAUAAUCAUCUCGGUAUUAUGUGAUUUUCAAAAUGUUUAAACUAUGGCAUGUAUAGGGUCUUAAUCAUUUUGAGCAUGUUCAAAUGAUAUGGCUAAUAUUAGCUAUUGAAGUAGCUAUUAAAGAAUAUGUUUUGGUGUUAUGUAUGUUAAAAUGGUAACUAA
rnacentral:lncRNA from 1 species